UGGACUUGUGAGGAACUAAAG
rnacentral:piRNA from 1 species